UACGAAGGGGGGCUAGCGUUGCUCGGAAUCACUGGGCGUAAAGGGUGCGUAGGCGGGUCUUUUAAGUCAGGGGUGAAAUCCUGGAGCUCAACUCCAGAACUGCCUUUGAUACUGAAGAUCUUGAGUUCGGGAGAGGUGAGUGGACUGCGAGUGUAGAGGUGAAAUUCGUAGAUAUUCGCAAGAACACCAGUGGCGAAGGCGGCUCACUGGCCCGAUACUGACGCUGAGGCACGAAAGCGUGGGGAGCAAACAGGG
rnacentral:rRNA from 1 species